AAUGAACGCUGGCGGCGUGCUUAACACAUGCAAGUCGAACGAUGAAGCCCAGCUUGCUGGGUGGAUUAGUGGCGAACGGGUGAGUAACACGUGAGUAACCUGCCCUUAACUCUGGGAUAAGCCUGGGAAACUGGGUCUAAUACCGGAUAGGAGCGCCUACCGCAUGGUGGGUGUUGGAAAGAUUUAUCGGUUUUGGAUGGACUCGCGGCCUAUCCGCUUGUUGGUGAGGUAAUGGCUAACCAAGGCGACGACGGGUAGCCGGCCUGAGAGGGUGACCGGCCACACUGGGACUGAGACACGGCCCAGACUCCUACGGGAGGCAGCAGUGGGGAAUAUUGCACAAUGGGCGAAAGCCUGAUGCAGCGACGCCGCGUGAGGGAUGACGGCCUGCGGGUUGUAAACCUCUUUCAGUAGGGAAGAAGCGAAAGUGACGGUACCUGCAGAAGAAGCACCGGCUAACUACGUG
rnacentral:rRNA from 1 species